UACGGAGGGUGCAAGCGUUACUCGGAAUCACUGGGCGUAAAGGACGCGUAGGCUGUUUAGCAAGUCAGAUGUGAAAUCCAAUGGCUCAACCAUUGAACUGCAUUUGAAACUGCUAGACUAGAGUAUGGGAGGGGGAGAUGGAAUUAGUGGUGUAGGGGUAAAAUCCGUAGAUAUCACUAGGAAUACCUAAAGCGAAGGCGAUCUCCUGGAACAUUACUGACGCUAAGGCGUGAAAGCGUGGGGAGCAAACAGGAUUAGAUACCCUGGUAGUCCACGCCUUAAACGAUGAACACUAGUCGUCGCGAUGCUUGUCAUUGCGGUGAUGCACUUAACAGAUUAAGUGUUCCGCCUGGGGAGUACGGUCGCAAGAUUAAAACUCAAAGGAAUAGACGGGGACCCGCACAAGUGGUGGAGCAUGUGGUUUAAUUCGAAGAUACGCGAAAAACCUUACCUAGCCUUGACAUUGAUAGAAUCUUUCAGAGAUGAGAGAGUGCCCUUCGGGGAACUUGAAAACAGGUGCUGCACGGCUGUCGUCAGCUCGUGUCGUGAGAUGUUGGGUUAAGUCCCGCAACGAGCGCAACCCUCGUCCUUAGUUGCCAGCAGGUUAAGCUGGGCACUCUAGGGAGACUGCCUUCGCAAGGAGGAGGAAGGUGAGGACGACGUCAAGUCAUCAUGGCCCUUAUGGCUAGGGCUACACACGUGCUACAAUGGGGCGUACAGAGUGUUGCAAUACCGCGAGGUGGAGCCAAUCACUUAAAGCGUCUCUCAGUUCGGAUUGUUCUCUGCAACUCGAGAACAUGAAGCUGGAAUCACUAGUAAUCGUAGAUCAGCAUUGCUACGGUGAAUACGUUCCCGGGUCU
rnacentral:rRNA from 1 species